rnacentral:pre_miRNA from 1 species
AAAUUAGACCAAGCAUUUGAAUAGGAAUGAAAAAUCUGCGGAUUUUGAAACUUAAAUCUGCAGAUUUCUCAUUUCUGUUUAAGUGUUUAUAUUUCUGCCAUUAUUUAGUU